CCGUCUGGCCCUGCAGUCCGCCCUACAAACACGGAUUCACCUGUUUAUACAAAUGCAGACAAGGUUACACCCUGGUCUCCGACAGCAACAAGAAGACCUGCUCCAAUGGACACUGGACUGGAAAAGUUGUCUGUGAGAAAGUUACAGAAACUGCUUGACGCUUGAGAGUGCGGUCUUCGUUGUCUUCUUCCCACUGAAGACUACUGCAAAACGGACAUUCUGAUCAUUCAUUCCAGAAAGUGAGCAUGACUCCUCUGCAGGUGUUAAAAUUGAAAUUAAAAUUUCAUAGCUUUCAGGUUCAGGUCUUCAUCACAUUAACUGAUGCCCAUGGUAUAAUAACAUUACUACAGCAUUACAAAAAAACAGUCUUGCAUGUAAUAAUCUUCAAUUCAACAUCACUUUACAUUGCCAGAGGAAUCAUGAAUCACUUUCAGACUGCUAUCAGGAAUAUUUCUUUAAACAGUUAUUUCAAGGUACAUAAAAUGCAUAGAAAUAUAGGGGGUUAAGGAAGAAAAUGGUCCGAUGAAAACUGUAUAAUAUAGUGGUACGUUGUAGGAAUUGAAACUGUAAUAUUUGGCCACAGGGAAGACAUUGAUGAAAUAUUUUCUUCAGAAAUCUACAUCACCAAUAAUUUGCCGAUGAUAAAAUAAUGUCAAACAUUGUCAGAAGAAACAAUGAUAAAAUGUUAAGUCCAUUACAUUAAAA